GGAAGGGGUGUAUUUAUUAGAUUAAAAACCAAUGCCCUUCGGGGCUCUCUGGUGAUUCAUAAUAACUUCUCGAAUCGCAUGGCCUUGUGCCGGCGAUGGUUCAUUCAAAUUUCUGCCCUAUCAACUUUCGAUGGCAGGGUCUUGGCCUGCCAUGGUUACAACGGGUAACGGAGGGUUAGGGCUCGACCCCGGAGAAGGAGCCUGAGAAACGGCUACUACAUCCAAGGAAGGCAGCAGGCGCGCAAAUUACCCAAUCCCGAUUCGGGGAGGUAGUGACAAUAAAUACUGAUACAGGGCUCUUUUGGGUCUUGUAAUUGGAAUGAGUACAAUUUAAAUCCCUUAACGAGGAACAAUUGGAGGGCAAGUCUGGUGCCAGCAGCC
rnacentral:rRNA from 1 species